rnacentral:rRNA from 1 species
UACAGAGGGGGCAAGCGUUAUUCGGAAUUACUGGGCGUAAAGCGUGCGUAGACGGUUAUCUAAGUCGGAUGUGAAAGCCCCGGGCUCAACCUGGGAAUUGCAUUCGAGACUGAAUAGCUAGGGUACGGUAGAGGGAAGUGGAAUUUCCGGUGUAGCGGUGAAAUGCGUAGAUAUCGGAAGGAACAUCAGUGGCGAAAGCGACUUCCUGGACCAGUACCGACGUUCAGGCACGAAAGCGUGGGGAGCAAACAGG